GCAGUACUUGCACUUGAAGAUCUAUUCAGAAGCUGAAUACUACAAACUGGAAAAAGACGGCUAUGAAAGGCAAUAAUGAUGGAGACUCACUGAAUGAUCCCUGGUAUGGCAGCAACAACAGUCCAUUUUCAACGUACAACAGUUGAGAUUGAUCAACUGGUGUGGGGGCGCUUGGGGCGACUGCCUUUUUGGCCAGCUGUACCUAAUUACUCCGGAUGAAGAUGGAAAUUUUCACAAACUGAUCGCAGGUGGUCGAGUGAAUAAAUUGGCAGUCACGUGGCUGAACGAAGGGGGGGGGAGGCUGGAGCUGGCUGGGGGCAUC